GAGAGCUUCAGAAAAUUGGAAACAUCAUGGUUCUCUGGGAAAAGCUUUGGUAUCCAAGGACCUGCAAAGAAAUAAAUAAACAAACCAAAAGAAUGAUGAGGAAAUCAAUUGCAAAGGAUUACAUGUAUAUAUCCAGGGCAAUUCAUUUUCCUAGCCCAGUGAAAUUUUUCCUAGGAUAUAACACUGCCUAUGAUUUCUUAGACCUUGCAAAUAGUCUUCUGCAAUGGGAAGGUCAAGGUAUAUGGAUUCUAAUAGUUAUUCUGCAAGUGACAGCCUUCUUCAGCACAAUUUUCUGUA